AAGGUACUACACUCUUCGAAAAUCUUAGAAAUCUUAGAAAAACCUUAAUAAUUGAUGCUGAUAAACAUUUUAAAAUAUAUAAAGUAAUUUUAAUGUGAAAAAUAUUACUUCAGCCGAGAUUCAAACGCGGAUCUCCCAUAUUCCGUGCGGACAUCUUCAUCAUUCGACCACCGAGGCUUAAGCAAUAUUCUUCGUAAUAUCGAAAAUAUAAAAUCUUUCAAACAAUCAAUCAAAAUGAGAAAACUCAUCGAACUCCUUUAUUUCGCGCUUAUUUCGAUAACUUUAGUCGUGGCACAGGAUACCUGCAUAGGACUCAGAAUGUCAUGCACAAAUGAUGAUGACUGUUGCGGAACACUUAUAUGCCAUCCAUGGGAAGAGCGACGUUGUUCCGAACAGCUUCUCUGGUUGCCCUAAUCCUCCCAACCAUGGGGAUUCGGAGGUUCAAAAGACGGAAGUAGAAUGGCAACGAAAACCUGUUCCAUAAUCAUAAAUUCGACUUCGAUUUUAUUACACAGGACUACGAUUUAAUCUUGUACUUAAUUUAAAAGUAUUUGAAAAUUCAUACAAUAAUUGGACAUAU